UACGGGGGGGGCAAGCGUUGUUCGGAAUUACUGGGCGUAAAGGGCGCGUAGGCGGUUGGAUAAGUCAGCUGUGAAAACCACGGGCUUAACUCGUGGCCUGCAGUUGAGACUGUCUGGCUUGAGUGUGGGAGAGGAGAGUGGAAUUCCUGGUGUAGCGGUGAAAUGCGUAGAUAUCAGGAAGAACACCCGUGGCUAAGGCGGCUCUCUAGUACGGUACUGACGCUGAGACGCGAAAGCGUGGGGAGCGAACAGG
rnacentral:rRNA from 1 species